AAUCAACUCUGUGAAACCCUUGUUCUCCCUCUCAGAUCUACGCAGGCACCAAACCCUUUUUCUCUUCUUGAUUCAAGUCCACUAUACUUCGAUUCUAUUCAUCGUUCUCUCUGAACUUCAAAAAUUCUCCAACUCUUCAUCUUCUUCAUCUAGUCUCAUGAAUUUAUUCUGUUUGCUUUUAUUUUGAAGAGUCUCAAAUUAGCGAGAAGUCCACAGAAUCGAAGAAGAAGGACGAAAUGAUAGUUGAGAAAGAAGAAGAAGGAUGGAAUAAUGGCAAGAAAUAAUAGUACCAUCUAAUCCUUGCAGAAUGAGGUUGCUUCUCUUCAGCGGAUCGUGGAACAAUAGCAGUUUGAAUUGAUGCAGAGUUGGAAUUGAUGAAUGAUUUUGCAUCUUAUUUGGCGACAUGGCGUUGGAACCAAUGACAGUAAUUGGUCCACAAUUUCAAUUUUUGUUUUUCUUAGAACUAUGUUUCUUUCACUUGUUUAGAUGAACAUCUAAGUUACUAUUUUAUAGGUUGCGGCGUCAGUGGUGGUGGGGAAAACUCUAUUUGAAAUAUUGAAAAUGGGUUGGAAUUUAUGUGUGUGCCUUAAUAUAAUAAGGUAAAAGAAAUUGGCGUGGAAAUGAACUAUAAUUUGGAGACAUGACGCAACUAAGCAAUUGGAGACAAAGUUGAACAAGUUUAUGGAGGUAUGUGAUGUUGUAAAAGCUCAGGUGAAUGAUCUUUUGUUUCUAAGUGUCCGCAAUAGCGAAACGGUACAGAUUGCAGAUACUUUGUUUUGAGGUUUUUGAAAGAAAUCCUUCAAAUGAAUUAAUUAGAGAUUCCAAUCACGUACUUUGAUAAAUUCUAUUCUGCUUAUUACACGAAACUUAAGUUGGAAGAAAUCAAAGAGGAAUUGUGUCAAUAUUAUAUUCAACAAAGACUCAUAUAGGACCAGGACCAGGACCGGUUUAGUUGAUUUAGUUGUUUAGGGAUGAUUUUCUUAUUAUUAUAAUGUAAUGUGAAUUGGUUUAGUUGUUUUGGUCAUGUUAGAAAUAUGUGAAUCGGUGUAUAUAUAUUUUGGAUUAAUUACAAUGGUAUAUAAUGUAAUGGUAUAAUUAUAAUGCCUUUUUUGUAUAUAAUCGAAAAUCGCUUCUUUGUUGAAAUAAUGAGAUUACUGAAAUAAUGGGAUUACGAUUGUAAAUUAUAGGUUUAUGGGAUAACAAUGGUAAAUUACAGGUUCAUGAAAUAAUGCUGCAAAAAAUGCAGGUUUAGAAA